AUACGGAGGAUGCGAGCGUUAUCCGGAUUUAUUGGGCUUAAAGGGUGCGCAGGCGGCCAUUUAAGUCAGCGGUUAAAUCGUGGGGCUCAACCCCAUUCUGCCGUUGAUACUGGGUGGCUUGAUUGCGGUCGAGGUUGGCGGAAUUCGUUGUGUAGCGGUGAAAUGCAUAGAUAUGACGAAGAACACCGAUUGCGUAGGCAGCUGACCAGACCGCAAAUGACGCUCAUGCACGAAAGUGCGGGGAUCGAACAGGAUUAGAUACCCUGGUAGUCCGCACAGUAAACGAUGAAUACUUGUUUUCGGCGAUAUAAUGUCGGAGGCAAAGCGAAAGCGAUAAGUAUUCCACCUGGGGAGUACGCCGGCAACGGUGAAACUCAAAGGAAUUGACGGGG
rnacentral:rRNA from 1 species